CACAAGUGCAGGAGACGAUGGCUUCACGUUAAGCGAUCAACCGUGACACUGGACAAUUUCCAAAUGACUUUGUACCAGACAAACAGCGCACUACGGUGGAUGUAGGUCAUUACUCAACACCCGAUGGAGUACACCGUUUGAUAUUUUUCAGCCCGGUUGCUGACAUCCAUAACACCCACAGCAGUGAUCCAGGAAGUAAUACAUGUGAACAAGUGCAAACAGAACUUUCUUCAUUGGCUCCUGUUGGGUUGAGAAAUUUGCCCCCGGCUCCUGUGGGUUAUUGAUGUUGGAGAAGUAAAUUGCAUCCCCUUGGAUGGAUUUUGGCACUAAGAGAGGAGUCGUGGGUCCGGUUCACAUCUCCCUUACCCUCUCUUACAGACAUAUAGAGAUGAAUUAGAGUCGAACCUGCAAAACGACUGAGGGCACAGAGAAAACAAUCCACUUAUUUUGCAAAAUGCUGAAACCACAACUGCACUCGUCUGCAUAUGUGGCCAGAUUGUUUUGUUUUUGUUGUUACAUAUUUCCAUUUUCUUAAAAAAAAAAAAAAAAGGAAAAGAAAAGAAAAUAAUAAUUCGACAGACAAUGGUUUAUAAGCAUAAUAUGUUCCAGUCCAAGUGACAGACCCGAAGAAGACAUUUGAAAUUCAAAUGUGGGUAAAAUCUUCUUGACAGGCUUUUGUAUGCUUGUCAUUUUUACUUCUGCUUAUAUUAUUAAUGGCAAUGUAUUAUUGGGUUUGUAAAUAGGGUUCAUUUAUUAUGAAUGUCUGAUGUAAGGGGUAGAGCAAAAGAGUUAGGAGUCAGCAAUGGAAACAGGGUAGAAAAUAAAUAAAAAUGAUACUCUGUGUG